rnacentral:misc_RNA from 1 species
CGUUUUAGAAACAUCAGUGGCCAACGAUCGUCAGGAUUGUUGAGCUGCAUUGGCGGGAUUUCGCCGUCUACGUUUCUCUUUCUUCGCGGACGAACACGCGCUGGGCCUGCAUGCGCAGGAUCCCUGGUCCUUGACGGGAUAUGCGUUAGGGGCUUGUAGCUCAGUUGGUUAGAGCGCGCGCUUGAUAAGCGUGAGGUCGGAAGUUCAAGUCUUCCCAGGCCCACCACACUCAUCGAGUGAGCAUUCGUCUUCUGGUUACGGGGCCAUAGCUCAGCUGGGAGAGCGCGUGCUUUGCAAGCAUGAGGUCGUCGGUUCGAUCCCGUCUGGCUCCACCAGAUGGCUUGAUCAUCGACUGACCGUGCAACUAAUCGUCCGCGAAACAUCACUUCGCUUCCUGCUAGUCUGGAUAGACAGCAAGUUGCGUGAUUUCUGACAUCGUAAAGAGGAGAUCGAUCCGAGUUGGAUCGGGCAGCAAGCAAUUGUUGCGCGAUACUUCAUUAUCUCCGGAUCAUUUCGGCGCUCGUGCGUCUUUCAAAGGCAGCUCACAAGGCUGCGCUUGAGAGACAAGCGAGUUGUAAAUGAUCCUUUUAGCGAAGCUUGACCGCCUCGCUAUCGGAACGAUCUUACGAAGCAAGCUGGUCUUUCUAAUCAUUGUCCGGCUGCAGAUAGCGUUCAUCGAGGGCGCGUGCCGCAAGGCAAUUCUGCAGACAACAUUCUGCCGAGUGUGUGGACAUUGAUAAUGAGAGCAAUCAAGUGCCUUAAGGGUGUUCGGUGGAUGCCUUGGCGCUGAGAGGCGAUGAAGGACGUGCUACGCUGCGAUAAGCCGUGGGGAGCUGCGAAGAAGCUUUGAUCCAUGGA